UACGUAGGGUGCGAGCGUUGUCCGGAAUUACUGGGCGUAAAGAGCUCGUAGGUGGUUUGUCGCGUUGUUCGUGAAAACUCACAACUCAAUUGUGGGCGUGCGGGCGAUACGGGCAGACUGGAGUACUGCAGGGGAGACUGGAAUCCCUGGUGUAGCGGUGGAAUGCGCAGAUAUCAGGAGGAACACCGGUGGCGAAGGCGGGUCUCUGGGCAGUAACUGACGCUGAGGAGCGAAAGCGUGGGGAGCGAACAGG
rnacentral:rRNA from 1 species